rnacentral:rRNA from 1 species
GGACUUGGGCGGCGGCUUACCAUGCAAGUCGAGCGGAGAGAGGUAGCUUGCUACCGAUCUUAGCGGCGGACGGGUGAGUAAUGCUUAGGAAUCUGCCUAUUAGUGGGGGACAACAUUUCGAAAGGAAUGCUAAUACCGCAUACGUCCUACGGGAGAAAGCAGGGGAUCUUCGGACCUUGCGCUAAUAGAUGAGCCUAAGUCGGAUUAGCUAGUUGGUGGGGUAAAGGCCUACCAAGGCGACGAUCUGUAGCGGGUCUGAGAGGAUGAUCCGCCACACUGGGACUGAGACACGGCCCAGACUCCUACGGGAGGCAGCAGUGGGGAAUAUUGGACAAUGGGCGCAAGCCUGAUCCAGCCAUGCCGCGUGUGUGAAGAAGGCCUUAUGGUUGUAAAGCACUUUAAGCGAGGAGGAGGCUACUUUAGUUAAUACCUAGAGAUAGUGGACGUUACUCGCAGAAUAAGCACCGGCUAACUCUGUGCCAGCAGCCGCGGUAAUACAGAGGGUGCAAGCGUUAAUCGGAUUUACUGGGCGUAAAGCGCGCGUAGGCGGCUAAUUAAGUCAAAUGUGAAAUCCCCGAGCUUAACUUGGGAAUUGCAUUCGAUACUGGUUAGCUAGAGUGUGGGAGAGGAUGGUAGAAUUCCAGGUGUAGCGGUGAAAUGCGUAGAGAUCUGGAGGAAUACCGAUGGCGAAGGCAGCCAUCUGGCCUAACACUGACGCUGAGGUGCGAAAGCAUGGGGAGCAAACAGGAUUAGAUACCCUGGUAGUCCAUGCCGUAAACGAUGUCUACUAGCCGUUGGGGCCUUUGAGGC